AUUUGGAGUAAAGAUAGUAUGGUGAACACACCUGUGCUUGUCUGAUUUUGGAAGCUAAGCAGGGUCAGACCUCAUUAGUAUUUGGAUGGAAACCCACCAGGAAGCAUCCAGCAUCUUCAAAUU
rnacentral:rRNA from 1 species